GAUAAGGAGCUUGCUCCUUUGACGUUAGCGGCGGACGGGUGAGUAACACGUGGAUAACCUACCUAUAAGACUGGGAUAACUUCGGGAAACCGGAGCUAAUACCGGAUAACAUAUUGAACCGCAUGGUUCAAUAGUGAAAGGCGGCUUUGCUGUCACUUAUAGAUGGAUCCGCGCCGUAUUAGCUAGUUGGUAAGGUAACGGCUUACCAAGGCAACGAUACGUAGCCGACCUGAGAGGGUGAUCGGCCACACUGGAACUGAGACACGGUCCAGACUCCUACGGGAGGCAGCAGUAGGGAAUCUUCCGCAAUGGGCGAAAGCCUGACGGAGCAACGCCGCGUGAGUGAUGAAGGUCUUCGGAUCGUAAAACUCUGUUAUCAGGGAAGAACAAAUGUGUAAGUAACUGUGCACAUCUUGACGGUACCUGAUCAGAAAGCCACGGCUAACUACGUGCCAGCAGCCGCGGUAAUACGUAGGUGGCAAGCGUUAUCCGGAAUUAUUGGGCGUAAAGCGCGCGUAGGCGGUUUUUUAAGUCUGAUGUGAAAGCCCACGGCUCAACCGUGGAGGGUCAUUGGAAACUGGAAAACUUGAGUGCAGAAGAGGAAAGUGGAAUUCCAUGUGGUAG
rnacentral:rRNA from 1 species